rnacentral:tRNA from 1 species
GAUCCCAUUGUCUAACGGUAGUACGGCUCUUUGACGUGGAGCAGGCCGAGGUUCAACUCCUCGUGGGAUCA